rnacentral:other from 1 species
AAAAUUGUGGUUAAAAUCUUGCACGGCUAACAAUACAAUUUUGAAAGUCAAAAAAAGGUAUGGUGAGCAAGCUUGGCAACGACUAAGACGCCUAAAAUACUUUUGGUGACAUUCACCUAAGCACAGUAACCGCUGCAAGAUCUAACCUUCUUCAGUUUCA